rnacentral:lncRNA from 1 species
CGCAAGUUCUGGUGCAGAUAUCGGCGGCAAAUCAGUUGCUUGGUGAGAGUUUGAGCUUCGGAGAAGCGCUGAAUGAGGGUUUCAUGCUGCGGUGGACGGCGGGGAAGGGGUGGUGCAGUGACUGCAUAAGCUCUGGCGGGAACUGCGGGUAUAACACGGUCGCGCGGGACCAGCAAACCUGCUACUGCCCGGCCGGGACGGCUAUCGGAAAUUGCUCCCCAACAGGUACACCGAAUUAUGCUUCAUGCGAUAGCGCUUACCUGUUUGAACCUACCGCGCGAUUUGGUGUUGCUCGACCGAGUACCGCUUGCUUGAGUAGUACUUUUACGAACAGCGCCGGGCUAAAGUAUUUUUAGGUGCUUCUCUCAAUCGCAAAAUUACAAGUUUCAAAUGUUUUUUGCACGUCACGAUAGAAGCAAAAAUAGUCCCAAUCGACAGCAGAAGCAAAAAUAAAGCCAAAAAGGCACAGAUUCCGUUCUAGAGUCUUGGUUGCAAAUUGUUUCUUUCUCAAAUUUGCCGUUCAGGUGAAAAAUUCGGGUCUUAAAGAGAGAGAGAGAGAAAACUAAUUAAUGAGAUCAUGGGGCUAUUCUCUUGUUUUAGAUACAGGGGAGCACGAAUCAAGGUUUAAUUAUAGUUGCUCUAGUUAGUUAGCACAUAACUUUGGAUAAUUUUCUAUCAGAUUGAUUUUUUCGUUAACAAGAUAUUAGAAUCAGUCCCAAUCCAUCCUGCUUAACCCCUAUUUAACGCGUUUGUUAGUCACCACUUCUGUCAUUCAUCUCCUAUCAACUGUGGGGGGCAAAUUGAAGUUUACUCUUUUCUUUUCUUUUUUUUUCUUUUUUUUGAAGGAGCUUAAUAGGAGGCAACUUGACAUAGUAUUAUUGCACGUAAUUAAUGAAAGACCCCUUGGAUUUUGAGAAAUAUGAACCUAUUAUCUCAAAAUUCAAUAUUUCAAAAUGUUAACCAUUUAUAUUUAUACAUAUACAUUAUUUCUCAUAAACUUUUGUCACAUGACAGUACCAUAGUCUCUUCUUCUUAAAAUUUCUACUCUCCAAUCAUUGCGACCGCUCACCUUCCGCGUAACGUCUGCCUCUUCGGCUUUCCGUCUCAUUAAUUUCUUCUCUGUAAUGUCUGCCUCUUCGGCUUCCCGUCUAAUUAAUUCCUUCCCCGUAACAUAUGCCUCUUCGGCUUUCGGUCUCAUUAAUUCCUUAUUUGUGACGUCGCUGUUUCGACUUUCCGUCUCAUUAGUUUUUAUUUUUUAAGAGGCGUUGUCUGAGGAGCCCGUGGACACCACAUACGGCGUCCUUGACAACAACCUCGCCAAUAGUUUAUAAAAUUGGAAUUCUGAAUAUAUAUUUAUUAGGUUACUCAUUUUCAUUUCACUUUCUUUCUUUUUAUUGCUACUGUAGUAACUAAGCUCCCUCCUUCUCUUUUUCUAAAAUCUCAACUCUUUCUAACCUCACUCUAUUUCUCUUCCUAUUUCUUUAAUUAUGCUCUUUCUCUAUCUAACCUAUGCUCUCUCUUCUUUUUUUUCUAGAAAGAUGUUGAAAUUUUUUAUGACAUUAUCUAAAAUUAAUUAACGAAAGAAAUAAAUUAAUUAUAUAUUUUUCGUAAUCUUAAAUAACAUGACUAAAUAAUAUGAUCGUACGAACCAAACGCCGAAAUGCCAUAUUGUUAGUAAUAGAAUGAAUAGGAAUAAGAUUCUCGGAUAUUUUUUUACUUUUAGUAAUUUUUUAUAGUGCGAACCAAACGCGCCCUUAAUGUGUCCUUUCGCCGCCAUUGGAUGGCCGCAUGUGGUCAUAUUAUUGCAUCCCGUCGCGAAGCGCGGUCGGUGGGUUAUUUCACUAGUGUAGUUAGAAUAGUAUAGUCAAUGCAUGAACUUUCGUUUUCCAAAUUCCUUGCAUGAGAUCGAGUCAUGCAUCCUUCCUUUUCUCUACCACUCCAUUACUAUUCUCCCUCUUCUUCAAUGAAAACGAAAAGGCCAAAAUUCGGAGGGGAAACCAAAAAACACACAUUAUGCACCCUGCAGAAACUCUUCCGCUGCUUCCCUUCAUCCUUCUCCUGCUUCUAGCAUGCAUACUCCCUUCUCUAUCCGAUGCGGAGAACUACUACCGAUACACCGAUUGCGCUCCGAAGAAUUACACUUGCGGGACGAUGAAUUUCACCGUUGGCUACCCAUUUCAGAUCGGUAUCGACCGACCAGACUACUGCCGAUAUCCGGGGUACUACCUCACUUGCACUGGUAACGGCACCCUUCUGAUCAACAUCGACGACGGAAUGAUGCCCUUCCAAGUGAAGAACAUCGACUAUGGGAACGACCUCCUCACGAUGGUCGACCCGAAUUUUGCUGCCGCAGCAUGCCCUCUACCAAACUAUAACUUCACCAUCAACACCACCAUCUUUGAUUACAACGACCGCAAUACGAUGAUGAUCAUAUACAACUGCAGUACUCCGCAAACAUCCUUGCCUUCCGGCAUAUAUUCAGUCCCAUGUGCGGAGGAAAAGUCCGGGCAGUACUAUUAUUAUCGACUAAACGACGAGGAUAGUGUGUUUGGGAAUUGCGAUUCGGUGUCGCAAGUUCUGGUGCAGAUAUCGGCGGCAUAUCUGUUUAGUCAUGGAAAUUUGAGCUUCGAAGACGUGAUGAACGAGGGUUUCAUGCUGCGGUGGACGGCGGGGAAGGGGUGGUGCAGUGACUGCGUAAGCUCUGGCGGGAACUGCGGGUAUAACACGGUCGCGCGGGACGAGCAAACCUGCUACUGCCCUAGCGGGACCGCUAUCGGAAAUUGCCCCCCAACAGGUACACAGAAUUAUGCUUCAUGCGAUCGAUAGCGCUUACCUGUUUGAACCUACCGCGCGAUUUGGUGUUGCUCGACCGAGUACCGCUUGCUUGAGUAGUACUUUUACGAACAGCGCCUGGCUAAAGUAUUUUUAGGUGCUUCUCUCAAUCGCAAAAUUACAAGUUUCAAAUGUUUUUUGAACGUCACGAUAGAAGCAAAAAUAGUCCCAAUCGACAGCAGAAGCAAAACUAAAGCCAAAUAGGCACAGAUUCCGUUCUAGAGUCUUGGUUGCAAAUUGUUUCUUUCUCAAAUUUGCUGUUCAGGUGAAAAAUUCGGGUCUUAAAGAGAGAGAGAGAGAAAACUAAUUAAUGAGAUCAUGGGGCUAUUCUCUGUUUUAGACACAGGGGAGCACGAAUCAAGGUUUAAUUAUAGUUGCUCUAGUUAGUUAGCACAUAACUUUGGAUAAUUUUCUAUCAGAUUGAUUUUUUCGUUAACAAGAUAUUAGAAUCAGUCCCAAUCCAUCCUGCUUAACCCCUAUUUAACGCGUUUGUUAGUCACCACUUCUGUCAUUCAUCUCCUAUCAACUGUGGGGGGCAAAUUGAAGUUUACU